rnacentral:piRNA from 1 species
UCUCAGGCUCCCCGAACUUGGCCUCACUGC